GUCCGCCUAGCUGAGGCGCGCAGGCAGCAGCCGUUGCUGCGACGCCUCUGGUGUACUAAAUCUGGAGGGGAGGUUGGGCUGUCCAAGAGAAGAAGACCCUCGAACCUUGGCUAAUGGCGACGUUUGCAGAGGCCGCCUAACGUUCUGCCACUUCAUUGGAAUCAGCCUCCGCCCUUCUCAACUCCUGGCUGCUGCGGGGCCAAUGGUGCCGGGAGACGAGGGCGCUCAGGCACGGUUCUAACAGUCUGGGAUCUCUCCUGUGAGGAGGCAUGCCCGCUGCCUUGUUGCAGAGGCCUCAGGGGUAAAGAAUCAAGACCCACCCAGCGUGACAAAUAAACCCGGACUCUCAGCAACGCAGAAAGAAACCAGCUGGCGACUUGGGGGAAAGGAUCCUCACAUACCGCUGUGACCAGGUAACUCUGUGCACAUACCAAGCCUAGUCAGUGUAAAGACAAUGAGGAUGAAGACCUCUAUGAAGAUGACUUCCACUUAAUGAAUAGUUUUUGGAGCUACUGCGUGGUGAACAAGAACACAUCUGUGUGCUGGAAGGGUGGUGCAUUCCAAACUCCACAAGGACAGAAGCUCCUGUGCUCAGGACCCGUCCAUACCUUGCCCUAUGUACCCCUUCAUCUGGCUGUGCAUCUGUAUCCUUUAAUAUAUCCUUUGCAAUA